rnacentral:rRNA from 1 species
GAUGAACGCUGGCGGCGUGCCUAAUACAUGCAAGUCGAGCGAACGGACGAGAAGCUUGCUUCUCUGAUGUUAGCGGCGGACGGGUGAGUAACACGUGGAUAACCUACCUAUAAGACUGGGAUAACUUCGGGAAACCGGAGCUAAUACCGGAUAAUAUUUUGAACCGCAUGGUUCAAAAGUGAAAGACGGUCUUGCUGUCACUUAUAGAUGGAUCCGCGCUGCAUUAGCUAGUUGGUAAGGUAACGGCUUACCAAGGCAACGAUGCAUAGCCGACCUGAGAGGGUGAUCGGCCACACUGGAACUGAGACACGGUCCAGACUCCUACGGGAGGCAGCGGUAGGGAAUCUUCCGCAAUGGGCGAAAGCCUGACGGAGCAACGCCGCGUGAGUGAUGAAGGUCUUCGGAUCGUAAAACUCUGUUAUUAGGGAAGAACAUAUGCGUAAGUAACUGUGCACAUCUUGACGGUACCUAAUCAGAAAGCCACGGCUAACUACGUG